rnacentral:rRNA from 1 species
AGAGUUUGAUCAUGGCUCAGAUUGAACGCUGGCGGCAGGCCUAACACAUGCAAGUCGAACGGUAGCACAGAGAGCUUGCUCUCGGGUGACGAGUGGCGGACGGGUGAGUAAUGUCUGGGAAACUGCCUGAUGGAGGGGGAUAACUACUGGAAACGGUAGCUAAUACCGCAUAACGUCGCAAGACCAAAGAGGGGGACCUUCGGGCCUCUUGCCAUCAGAUGUGCCCAGAUGGGAUUAGCUAGUAGGUGGGGUAACGGCUCACUUAGGCGACGAUCCCUAGCUGGUCUGAGAGGAUGACCAGCCACACUGGAACUGAGACACGGUCCAGACUCCUACGGGAGGCAGCAGUGGGGAAUAUUGCACAAUGGGCGCAAGCCUGAUGCAGCCAUGCCGCGUGCAUGAAGAAGGCCUUCGGGUUGUAAAGUACUUUCAGCGAGGAGGAAGGCGAUACGGUUAAUAACCGUGUCGAUUGACGUUACUCGCAGAAGAAGCACCGGCUAACUCCGUGCCAGCAGCCGCGGUAAUACGGAGGGUGCAAGCGUUAAUCUGAAUUACUGGGCGUAUAGCUCACGCAGGCGGUCUGUCAAGUCGGAUGUGAAAUCCCCGGGCUCAACCUGGGAACUGCAUUCGAAACUGGCAUGCUUGAGUCUUGUAGAGGGGGGUAGAAUUC